GACGAGUUGUGGACCAUGGGCGAAAAGAAGAAAGAUGGAGCGAAACACACGCUCUAUGAGAGGACAAGGUGAUGGAGACUUUCUCUUACCCUUGUCUUGUAAACAUAUUUCCCCUUUGUUCCUGCAGGCAUCAGGUGGAAAACAACCAUACUAGCCAACAAAAAACAUCACAAAGAAAUGCUCCAAUUAGGAAGAAUAAUUUGUCAAAUGGCACACCACGAUGCGUGCAUCCAUCCGCCACGCGCGAGUUACUGUCGGGAAUACACUUCAUAGUCAUAGUGCAUAGACCAUCACGAUGGAGUCUACUUUAGCUAGUUACAACAUGGAAGUAAUUUCUGUUCUAAUUGACGCCUCGUUUAAAAUUUGAAGAAGUUACAUAAACUUCUUUCGGUGAUAGUGCCCAAGUGAAGUGACUCGCUCAUAAUGUCCCAGAGUUGGAUGCGUUCGAUGUAGAUCCCGGAUAUUGCGGACAACUUGCUGGCUACUCGUAGGCGCUACAAUAUGACAAGGACGAGGGAGAUGUUAGAUGUAGAUGACACAGCUGCUGGAUCAGGCGGCACAAUCAAAGAGCAUCCACCUAGUUUCGUUCCUAGCAGGUUCCUCAUGCUUCCUAUUCCCAAACAAGAGAGCUUGCUUUCUCACCAUCACAUAUAUGUAAUUGGAUUCCAAACAUGCGUACAUAUGUUUGAGUGCACGAAACUAGUUAGGACUUUGGAACUGGGGUACAACCUACAAGAGGC
rnacentral:lncRNA from 1 species